AUAAUAAUAAUAUCUUUAUUUAUUUCCAACAGAUUGGGGGAGACAGGGAAGAAAAGCUGCAAGUGCAGCUUGAAGAAACACCCUGCCCCCUAUGUUAUAAAUGUGAACAGCUGGCC
rnacentral:lncRNA from 1 species